rnacentral:rRNA from 1 species
UACGUAGGGUGCAAGCGUUGUCCGGAAUUAUUGGGCGUAAAGAGCUCGUAGGCGGUCUGUCGCGUCGGAAGUGAAAACCUGGGGCUUAACCCCGGGCCUGCUUUCGAUACGGGCAGACUAGAGUUCGGCAGGGGAGACUGGAAUUCCUGGUGUAGCGGUGAAAUGCGCAGAUAUCAGGAGGAACACCGGUGGCGAAGGCGGGUCUCUGGGCCACUACUGACGCUGAGAAGCGAAAGCAUGGGGAGCGAACAGG